AAAAUAAACAACUCUGCUUGUGAUCCUAAAUUGGGACCAUAUGGACAUGUGAAAGCUACAAAUGCGCUACAUUUCGACUCCGAGUUUCUGCCUUCACUGUUUGCGUGCCUCCGAGUAGAUGCUGAUAAUGUUGCCUUUGGUCCCAAAGGAACCUGAGAUUCUUAGCUCCUAGGAUGAGGGAGCAAGCAGAAGAAAGAAAAGGAAUGAAAACAAAUGCCUUUCAAGACAAAAUAUCUGAACAAUACUAAAACAUCAGGUGGAGAAGUUAACUACACGAUGACCAGACUGUACCCAGGACAUGAGCUGCUACAAUUCUAGGAGCUGGCCUCAAAGAAACAGGAACAAAUGGACCCUGGAACUGAAGGUUAACUGUCCCUGAAGCAAUCAAGAUGACACUGGUCAGAGCACCGAUGACCAAUUUGAAGAUGACUGUCAGAUCAGAGAUGACUGUGCUGUUUCUGCAUGUAGCCCCCUCCUUCUGUCUGUAAAAGCUCUGGCCCCACUAGUUGCUAGCUGGGGGGGAGUCGGCCGUUGGACAGAUGUCCGCCCCUCUCCCCUACCCCUGGUUGCCAGCAUCUGAAAUGAAGCAACCUUUCCUUUCCACCAACCUGGCAUGUUUAUUGGCUUUUGGGCAGUGAGCAGCCAGAUCCCUCCUCACCUGUCAGCAGGGCAUAGACUCUUGACUCAUCUCUCCCUUCUGCACUGUUUGAGAUUUCUCUUAUUUCUGCUCGUGUUGUGGCUGCUCCACCCCAAUCUGUGUCACCUCUCCCAUGAGUCUCAGCAGUAGUGUGUUAUUAAGCCUUCUUAACUUCCCUCCAGUCUACCUUUGUACAGUGGCCUUCAGAAAGAUGCUUGAGUACAGUGGAUCUGGGGUAGAGGGCUGGGAUUUUUAAAAAUUCCACAAGUGAUUCUGAUGUGCACCCUUGGUGGGAAAGAGGGUUU